rnacentral:rRNA from 1 species
AAGUCGUAACAAGGUUUCCGUAGGUGAACCUGCGGAAGGAUCAUUGUCGAAACCUCUGCCAAGCAGAACGACCCGUGAACGGUACUUAAACAUGGGUGUGGUUGUGUUGUUACGGCUCCCUGGGGCCCUGCUCGCUUCCUCCCCAUGCCGGGGGAGCAAUUGCGCCCCCUUGGCAACCAACUUGCCCCGGCGCGGAAAGCGCCAAGGAACAUAAACUCAAAAGUGCCCGCUUGCCUUGUGCCCGGUUAUCCGGUGCGCGGGUGCGGUGCGACAAUUAAACAAAUGAUGACUCUCGGCAACGGAUAUCUCGGCUCUCGCAUCGAUGAAGAACGUAGCGAAAUGCGAUACUUGGUGUGAAUUGCAGAAUCCCGUGAACCAUCGAGUCUUUGAACGCAAGUUGCGCCCGAAGCUUUUGGCUGAGGGCACGUCUGCCUGGGCGUCACGCAUCGCGUCUCCCCCGCACACCUUUCGGUCGCGGGGAAGGAAGUUGGUCUCCCGAGCCUCGCCGGGCUCGGCUGGCCUAAAUAUGGAGUCCUCGGCGCUGAGCUGCUGCGGCGAUUGGUGGUGAACGCGGCCCCGGCCCUCAAUAUCAUCCGUCGCGUAGUUCCUCGUCGGAGCGAUCUCGCAGGACCCUCGGGUGUUGCCUACCCAAAAUGUUGCGACCCCAGGUCAGGCGGGGCUACCCGCUGAGUUUAA